rnacentral:rRNA from 1 species
UAAGGAAUAUUGCUCAAUGGGAGAAAUCCUGAAGCAGCAACGCCGCGUGGAGGAUGAAGGGUUUUUAACUUGUAAACUCCUGUAAAGAAGGAAAAAAUUCCCAUUAGAUGGGAAAUGAUGGUACUUCUGGAGUAAGCCCCGGCUAACUACGUGCCAGCAGCCGCGGUAAUACGUAGGGGGCAAGCGUUGUCCGGAUUUACUGGGUGUAAAGGGUGCUCAGGCGGAUUUGUAAGUCAGAGGUGAAAUCUCACAGCUUAACUGUGAAACUGCCUUUGAUACUGCAAGCCUAGAGUAUGGAAGAGAGUGAUGGAAUAUCUGGUGUAGCAGUGAAAUGCGUAGAUAUCAGAUAGAACACCAAUGGCGAAGGCAGUCACUUGGUCCAUAACUGACGCUAAAGCACGAAAGCGUGGGUAGCAAACAGGAUUAGAUACCCUGGUAGUCCACGCCCUAAACGAUGAAUACUAGAUGUUGGCUUCGCAUGAAGUCAGUAUCUGAGCUAACGCAUUAAGUAUUCCACCUGGAAGUACGAUCGCAAGGUUGAAACUCAAAGGAAUUGACGGGGUCAUAGCUGUUUCC